UUCUGCAUGUUUAAAAUUUACUGGCUGUGUGGAGUGGCUCACACAAGUAAUCCCAAGCACUUUGGGAAGCUAAGGUGAGCUGAUCACUUGAGUUCAGAAGUAUGAGACCAACCUAGCCAUG